UGGGGAAUCUUCCGCAAUGGACGAAAGUCUGACGGAGCAACGCCGCGUGAGUGAUGACGGCCUUCGGGUUGUAAAGCUCUGUUAAUCGGGACGAAUGGUUCUUGUGCAAAUAGUGCGAGGAUUUGACGGUACUGGAAUAGAAAGCCACGGCUAACUACGUGCCAGCAGCCGCGGUAAUACGUAGGUGGCAAGCGUUGUCCGGAAUUAUUGGGCGUAAAGCGCGCGCAGGCGGAUUGGUCAGUCUGUCUUAAAAGUUCGGGGCUUAACCCCGUGAUGGGAUGGAAACUGCCAAUCUAGAGUAUCGGAGAGGAAAGUGGAAUUCCUAGUGUAGCGGUGAAAUGCGUAGAUAUUAGGAAGAACACCAGUGGCGAAGGCGACUUUCUGGACGAAAACUGACGCUGAGGCGCGAAAGCCAGGGGAGCGAACGGG
rnacentral:rRNA from 1 species